UGUAAUGCAAAAGUAUUGCUCUUUUGAGCGCAUAUUGUUUUGAGAAGCAAAACCCUUUACCGUUGUGACCCCACAAUACUCUGCUGAUGGGGGUGUCAUACAAUUUCAUGUCAAAAAAAUCCAAACUUUCCUGUUGAUAGCAUUGACUGUGUAGCAUUAGCCUAGCAUGAUGCAGUGUUUAUGUGCUCGUACCUCCUUGGUGCCAAACCAGAUGUCCCUCAUGUGGUCGCAGAUGGCCUUGGCGGCAGACAUGGCGCUGGACAACUUCCUAGCCUUGAUGACGGCGGCGCCGCGCUGCUGCACCGUCUGCACCACAGGAACAACACGAAGGAAGAAGAAGAGACCAGGAAGUGGCGUGUUGGUGAUGUCGUUAGAUUCCCGGGGGUCCACUGAGCAGGUGAGCUUCGUUUUCUUCAAGUGACGAAUGAUCGAAAAGCGCCCAAUCGACCAUCCCCCAACUUUACCAAACUAAACAUGUUAUCCCUUUCGAACACACCACACAGUUAAAAAAAAAAAUCACAUGGUCGCCAUGACAACAUUCUCACGUCAUGUGGUCAGCAUAACCGCAUUGUUAUGUCACACAAUCGCCAUGACAACAGUCUUACAUAAUGAUAUUACACCACGCGGGCGCCAUGACAACUCGUCCGUUAUGAUUAUUAUGAUUAUCAUGAUUGUCAUAAUUGUUAUGUUUAUUAUGAUUAUUAUGAUUAUUAUGAUUAUUAUGAUUAUUAUGAUUAUUAUGAUUAUUAUGAUUAUUAUGAUUAUUAUGAUUAUUAUGAUUAUUAUGAUUAUUAUGAUUAUGAUUAUCAUCGUGGUUGUGAUGAUGAUUAUGGUUAUGAUUGUGAUUAUGGUUAUGAUUACGAUUUUUAUUUUUAUUUUUAUGAUUUUAAUGAUUUUUUAUGAUUUUUAUGAUUUUUAUGAUUUUACGGUUGUUAUGAUUUCAUUAUUAUUAUGAUUAUUGUGAUUGUUAUGAUUGUUAUGAUUGUUAUGAUUGUUAUGAUUAUGAUUGAGAUGAUGAUGAUUAUGGUUAUUGUUAUGAUUAUUAUUAUGACCAUGAUUGUAAUUAUGAUUUUUAUUAUUAUGAUUAGUAUGAUUGUUAUGGAUUAUGAUUAUGAUGAUGAUUAUGAUUACGAUUACAAUUACAAUUACAAUUACAAUUACAAUUACAAUUACAAUUACGAUGACGAUGACGAUGACGAUGACGAUGACGAUGACGAUGAUGAUUAUUAUUAUUGUUCAUGACUCCACCAUAAGAAAAACACCGGGCAAAAAUGGCCUGCAUGGCAGAGUUCCAAGACCAAAAGCACAGAGACGACUCAUCCAAGAGGUCACAAAAGACCCCACAAGUGCAGGCCUCACUUGCCUCAGCUAAGGUAUCAGCGUGAUAAUGCACGGCCCCAGUUGCAAGGAUCUGCACCCAAUUUGUGGAAGCGGACAACAUCCCAGGUCCUACACGGGCGGUCCACUCCACCAUGUUAUGUUCGGGAGGCCGUGGAGCGCCACAUACGGUACUUGAGGCAAACGUUGGUCACACAAGAUAGAAAGAGUUUUGAAUACUUGAACUUUAUUGUAAAAACGAUGAUGUCUAAUUGACAUUCUGAAAAGAACAAGUACGAAAACGUGCUGCUAGUCGCUCUCCAGUGGACCCUGACAAGACGAGAACCCACAGGGUUCUGGAUGAGGUGGGAGCGGUCAACCUGGAAGUCUUAGCAGCAUCAUGGAAGUCCACCUUGUCUCUGGAGGGUUUCCUUUUGGAAGAAUAACUCCUCAGGAAGUUCUGGACUGGAAGAAGAAUCAUGGACCUGAUCCUCUUCUUCUUCUUCCCCUGAGUCACGGACAUGUCCACCUGGUCUCCACUGAUGGACGUCACAGCAUCUGGAAGCGCCAUGACGCCUGAUCUUUGUAUUCUAAACAUUCCGAGGUGUUGAAGUUGAGCUUCCAGGCCGAGGCGGCCGUCUGCUCCUUGUAGUCCAGACAGUCCGAGGAGUUGAAGGCCAAUCCGGCAGCACUGUAGGCUUGAUGGGGGUGUGGCGGGUGAUGGUGGUGGUGAUGGUGGUGGCCUGAUGUCUGUGCGAUGUGAUGGGGGUGGUGGGUGUGGCCCGCCAUGGCGCCGCCCGCCAUGGGGCUGAGUUGGUGGGCGUGCAUGGGCGCCAAAUACGAACCGCACUCCAUGCCGCUGAAGUAGGAGCCGGAUGCUGACGCCGCGUAGCCCUGACUGUACGCCGCAGCCGUUUGGCCGUAAGACACCGGGUAGGAUGCUGUCCCCCCGGAGGCGGACGACACGGCACGUUGCAUGCAGGAGGUGGCGGCGGGGGCGACGGGGUCGGGCAGCGUCGUGGUCGCCGUCGGGGAGAUGGGCGCCGGGCUCCAGAUGGACGACGCGGGGGUGCUGACAGAGGAAGAGGUGCUGAUCAGGCCUGCUGAGGAAGAGGAGGCGGAGCUUGAGGCGGCGGGGGGCGUGAACUGUCCGCUGCUGUCGGAGCCGCUGCUGUCUCUGCUGGGAGACGACUUCUUCUUCAGGGCUUUUACUUUACUGCUGCUCUGCUGCUGCUGCUGCCGACAUUUGGCUCUCCGGUUCUUGAACCACACCUGACCAAGGACGGGUCAAAGGUUGAUCUUGAGGGCCACCUCCUCCCUCAUGAAGAUGUCCGGGUAGCGGGUCUUGGCGAACAGAGCCUCCAGGAUGUCCAGCUGGGUUCGGGUAAAAGUGGUCCGCUCCCUGCGCUGCUUCCGGGGGUUGGCUGUAAGAGGAAGCCCGGUGAGGACACAUGUACGGUACCUUUCUAACUUUAUGAUCCACCUGAAAAUGUUUCUUAUAAGGGGCGGAAAGGGUGCGUGGAAGCUGAAGGUUAAGGUGGCCCUACCAGGGUAGCCCACUGAAGGGUGCAGCAGGUCCAUGGCGGCUCCGCUCAGGCCCAGUCCGUUCAUGCCGUACGGGCCCUGUUUGAGGCUGCAAGGGAGGAAGACAAGCCGGGCAGGAAUGCUGCAUGCUGCCGGGUUCCAGAAUCAUGAGGGCUGCAGCUCUCCUUCUUCUUGUUCUUCCGUCAGUGGAGCAACUCUCAAAUCUCCCGAGGCAAGCACAAAAACGUCAUCAAUAUGUUAAUGGCUUAAUCUUUAAAAAGCCUUAAUAUACAUUGAUUUCAACACUGUCACCAGUCAGUCACGCUAAUCCACUACAGCUAGCUCCUACGCUGUAACGACUACAUUAUUAUUCCUCAUGGAACUACAUUGUUAUUUUUAAUGGAGACAUCAUGUUAGUAGAUUAUUAUUGCUAAUCAUCACCAUCAUGUAACCACAUUAUUAUCGCUAAUUAUCAUCUAUCCAUUGCUGUUAAUAGACGCGUCAUCAUGCAACUAGAUUAUUAUUAAAACCACCAAGAUGUACUGUAACGACAUUAUCAUGUAAAUAGAUUAUUAUUAAUUAUUAUCAUCAUGUAACUACAUUAUUAUUAAAGAGGACCUAUUAUGCUCAUUUUUCAGCCCUUUUGUAUUGAGUUGUGGACUCCUAUAGAGCAGCCACACACAAUAACCAGCACAGAAAGAUUUCUAGUUCCUCCAGGAUCUGCACCUAUUCAGUUGUAUUUAUUUGGAUUUUUUGCGUCUCGCGAAAACAGUCUGUUUUAAUUUAUUCCACCCACGGCCCGCCUCCAGGCACACCGAAUUUGCACUCCGAGUGCUUAGAAGGACCUCCGGUUUGUGCUGCUAACUUCGAACCCAACUGUAUAGGAGUUGAUAAACGGUAUAGGAGUUGAUAAUAAACAGCGAUGUAUCUUUCCAAGAUGUCGCCUUUGAACAUACAGCCAUAUGUGUUGGAUCCCUGGACUGGACAGUCCCAAGUUUCUCAAAAAAAGAGGUUAGUUCAGGAAGUCUCUCAAUGGUUUUAGAGUUUUCUACAGUAUCUGUUACGUCUAAUCCUUUUUGCGGGACUACCAGUGUUUAAAAAAACUCGGGUAGAGCCACUGACUGUGGUGAGAAAAGGCUAUUAGCAACGCUGCUCCCUGUAUGUACACUAUAUAAGAGCUUUUAAACUGUAAACUAUAAACUGUUAAUUACGGCUUGCUCUUCUGACUCUUCCAUGUGACCAAGUAAAGUUGGAAAGGUGUCAGGUUUCAGAAAGUUUGUUGGCUAGUCCAGCUGCAUACUGGCCCGUGUUUACAAACCAGUCCAGUGUGAAAUGCCGUUGACAGAUGCUAAUAUUUUUGUUUUGCUGGUCAGGAAUCAGGAAGUCCAACCACCCGAAGGUGGCGUCUUUAGGAAUUGGAAAAACGUGUGGCUUUCCCCUUACGAGCCGUAGCAACGAAAAAACAAAAGAAGAGCAGAGGAGGGCAGAGAGCUUAUCUGGCUUACAUCCCCGCCCAUAUAAGGAAGUCCGCUUCUUUGUGACAUCACAAAGAUCCGGUUUUACCACACCUUCUGAAACCGAGUGUUUGAGCCAUCUUAAACUUCUUUCAGGGCUCACUUCCAAAUGCGCAAACCUCAUUAUCUGAAACUUUGGCAUGGUUUAACACGGGAAUCCAACAUUUUAACUGCAUUUAUUGGUCAGAAAAGUGGAAAAAAGCAUAACAGGUCCCCUUUAAGACACAUCAUCACGCAGCUACAUUAUUAAUAGAUGCCAUGGAAGAUGUUUAUUUGUAAUGGUCAUGUAACUGUUCGGUAAUAACUUCAAGUCCCUAUAGUGUGUGUGUGUCGUGCACCCUCCCCGGUUCCCCUCUCAGGAGAAUUACCCAAAAACACAACAUGCAGGAACCACCGAUCUCCUUAUUAACGAUUAUUUUCUAUUGACUCUUGGAGCUAUCAAACUCUCUUCCAUGACGCUGAUGUCCGAGAUGUGAAAGCAUGAUGGUUCCUUGCUGUGGUGGCGCUCGUCGAUAUUUCGCGGUUGACACGUCGCCACAAAGCACUCAUCGCCCCCCGAGGCCCGCAGACGCCCACUUAAAGCCUGCUUGCCUUGUUCUAGUACAUUUUUUCCUGUUUGCUUUAGAUAACAAAUCUGCGGUUGACCCUCAGGGUUAGGGGAGCAUUACAAAUUAAUCCCAGUUUUAAUAAGUCUGUCUUAAGCCUGGGCUCUGUCCCCCUCAAAAGAAAGACAGAAAAGGAGGAGGGAGAGAAGAAAUAUAUUAAAGCCUGUGAUCACAGGCAGCUUUUCUUGUUUGUUAUCCCUCCGUUUUACCUUUAAUCCAAUACUUGCUAAUCCAAUUUGUCUUUGGGGCUGCAACCCUAACUUCUCCUCAUCUUAUGGCUUUCUCUCAAACACGCCUCCUCGUGCUCGGACGACAAGUAAAUACAUGUUUAGCGGGAAAACGCACAAAAAAGAGGAAGCGUGAGACCGACGCACGUAUUAAAAAGUCUGAGAUUGUGCUGGAAGUUUAGGUCUGAAUAUGCAUGAAGAGCCAUAAUCAGAUCUUGGCCAGCUAGCCCCCCACACACCCACCCGCCCCUCCACACCCCGUCCACCCACUGGAGGGGAAUAUCGGGGGACACAAAGGGAUUGAUUUAAUUACUUGGAGUGGGUCUGUGCUGUGGAGAUGCCUUGUUAGCGGCAGUGAAAGGCUUGGCCGUCAGCAGGCUGGGGGGGGUGCACUCGCAGAUGGCGGGGGCACCGAGGUAGUCGGCCUUCUUAAGUCACCAAAACUAAUCCCCAGUAGAAAGCCCCCCCCCCCCAAUCCCCAUUGAAAGCCGCUGCAUUGAUUGCAAAAAAUGGACAUUCCGUGUUGACGGCCGAUCUGCUCGCUCACCUCCAUAGACGUCCGGAGGGCGGCCAUCUUUACCUCCGGUGACGUUGUAGUGCCGCACUGACGUUGAUCAUAACGAUAUAGUUUAUUUGAUGACAAACAAAGCUCACCUGAGAGGUGUAGUCAUCAAAGGACCGACGAGCGAGUCCUUCAUGAUCUGAUGACAAAAGCCAAAAGGCGUCCUGCCAUUAAGCUCUUAAAUAUGAACCUUCCGCAGGGCGCCGCGCUAUUAAAGUUCUUGUGAAGCCGCCAGCAGGAACCCGGGCCCAUUCACCUUUCAUCUCCUUGUUUGGCCGCCAUGGUGCCGCCUCAAGAUGUUAGUGAUCUCAUUACACCGUUUGAGAGAAAACAGCCGCCAUGUUUGAGCAUCUCGCCCCCCCCCCCCCCCUUUUCUCCUCGCGCUUUUCAAUUUCCCUGCUAACGAAUCUCCCCCGCAUCAAAGGCCAUAAAUUGAUUAUUACUUCAGGUCGGGACAUUUUCCUACCAAGUUUACUCAUCCACACCCCCUGUAGGACUCUUUUCUUAUCUUUUCUUUUCAGGGUGGUGCCAUGUGAAUGGGCGGCCGCCUUGAAAAGCGAAGAGGCCCCAGGCGUCACAAAAAACCUCUUCUGGUUUCUCAUUUAGUUGUCUUGAUGCCCCUAGCACCAUGUGGUCCUUGAAGGUGUUCAAAACAUGGGAAGCUCCGGAGGGAUCAGAGCAAUCUGAUUAGCGUCGGCUCACAGUCGGAGCGGGCCGGCUGGACGGCGAGGACCGAGCGGACGCCGAGCCCGGAGACCGCCGCCUCUGCUCCGGCUGGCCUCCACUUUUUUGUGCUUUUGUGUUCUUUCAACGUUUGUGGUCAUGUGGCGCCGCCGCCGCCGCCAAGAGCAUCAUGGGAAAAGACAACGGCAUCAAAAUACAACAUAAGGGUGACAAUGAGUGGAAAAGCGUUAAAAGGAACUUUGAAGAAACUUUAUUGAGGUGGUUGAUGACAUCACCUCCCUUCCAUGCAUUCCCACAAUAACAGAAUAUAGUAAAUAUUGCCAAAACUAGGAGCGAUGUCAGGGAAAAAGCCCGGUAUCGAUAUCGGCCCAUAUGUUAUCGGUCCGAUCAGCUCCGCCCCCGCCGCAGCAUUCACAACAAGUUUGUCUGCUUGUUGAAAACCAGGGAGAACAUGCAAUCUACCAGAUAACUGUGUGGCCAACAUGCUAACCACUAGGCCACCGUGUGGUCUGUGAGCAUAUUUAGUUAAGACAUGAGCAGGCAUGCCCUUUUGCCUAAUGUGUUAUUUUGAAAUAUCUUUAUUGAAAAGCGUCAGAACAGUUAUUAUUUUUAAACCAUAUAAUAUAAGUGGAAUGUAUGUAUUUAACAUAUGUACAUGUUAGCAUGUUUAGUCUUAAAGACAUGAGCAGGCAUGCCCAGAAAUAGGUUAACUGAAUGAAACGGUACUUUUUUGGCUAGGCAUAGGCCAGUAUGAUAACCUUGGGCAAAAAUAUCACAGUUCUAACUCUAGAAUGUGUUAUUUUGAAAUAUCUUUAUUGAAAAGCGUGAGAACAGUUAUUCUUUUUAAACCGUAUAAUAUAAGCGGAAUAUAUGUAUUUAACCUAUGUACAUGUUAGCAUGUUUAGUCUAAAAGACAUGAGCAGGCAUGCCCAGAAAUACGUUAACUGAAUGAAAAGGUACUUUUUUGGCUUGGCAUGGGCCAGUAUGAUAAUCUUAAAAAUAAAAAAAAAAUAAAUACAGCUGAUGGUUUCACUAUAUUAUAAUUACAACUCUAGAAUAUGUGAUUUUGAAAUAACUAUUGAACAGUUAUUUUUAAACCGUAUAAUACAAGUGGAAUAUACCAGAAAACCAGGAAAAUGCAACAAUGGAGAGCAUAGAAGCCGAGUACUGUAAAUUUAUGAAAGCCCCCCCCCCCCCAAAGUACCUGCUGUAGCGUCAUCUUCCAUGCCGUCACAUGACAGAGGCAAGAAGAGGCAAGCGAGGCCGCAGGUCCGCAACACUCGAGUUUGUCAUUUGCACAGUGCUACAUUCUUUCAUUAGCGCUUUUAUCGGAGCAGCCAGCCAUGGGCGGCAGGUUCAUGCACCCUUGAGCACAAAGACUCGGCUUGUUCUACAUUUACACAAUCAUUUAACUUCUUUAAUUGUACUUGAAAUUACAAUUGCAAAUGACGCAGCGGUUCUGCACGGCCUGCAAAAAAAAGAGCAACAUUUUUAGUGAUUGCUGGCAGCAAACUAAUCUUCCUGCACAAGAAAAGGCAGAUUUCCUGCUUUAAUAGAGGAAGCAUGGCUGAUCCUGGACCAGAUGUUGCAGAAGCAACAAUUAGGCUGAAGGCAGCAAAG